GAUGAAGAACGUAGCGAAAUGCGAUAAGUAAUGUGAAUUGCAGAAUUCAGUGAAUCAUCGAAUCUUUGAACGCACAUUGCGCCCGCCAGUAUUCUGGCGAGCAUGCCUGUUCGAGCGUCAUUUCAACCAUCAAGCCCCAGGCUUGUGUUGGAGCCCUGCGGCUGCCGCAGCCUCCCAAAACCAGUGGCGGGCCCGCUAUCACACCGAGUGCAGUAGUUUACUCUUCGCUCAGGGCGUGUGGCGGGUGCUAGCCGUGAAACCCCCAACUUCUCAAGGUUGACCUCGGAUCAGGUAGGAAUACCCGCUGAACUUAAGCAUAUCAAUAAGCGGAGGA
rnacentral:misc_RNA from 1 species